GCCCGCUGCCUGCGCGGGCGGGCGGGUGGACGCGGGCUCGGCGGCCGGCGGGGGCCUCCGGGGCGGGGUCCCCGCGCGGGGGCUGCGUGACCUUGUGUCGCGUUGUCAAGGGCGACGGGCUCUGCGCGCGGCGCUGUCGCGGGUGGUCGGGGUGCCCCAGGCUCGCGCUCGUCGGCCGGGCCUCAGUUUCUGCACCCCUCGAGCGGGGCCGAUGGCGGCACCCCCAAGGAGGCGUGGAAGUCGGUGAGAAGCCGCGGGUCCGGACCGCUGGAAGGCAGGCCGCCCAGCUGAAAGGGAUGAGAAGCGGAAUUCCGUCCUGACUGGUCUACACCACACGUGGACGCAGCAGCCUCCGCCACCAGCUAAACUGGGCUUACCCGGUUUAUUCCAAUCCUCGCGCCCCGACGCGGCUUCCGCCCUGCUGAGGUUGGGGUCAAGUUGGGAAUUCAGACCCUGAGCCUUCGUUGCCCUGGGAUGGGGCCCUGGCGGCUUCCUGCAGACGCGGUCCCCAGAUAAUCCUCGCGGACGCCCAAGUUUGAGAUUAGCUGCCACGAUCAAAUACCUAGAAAAACGGAUUUAAUUGAGAUUGUGUCAAGUGCCUCAAAGGAGUACAGGAGCCCCGAGUGUCCCCCACGGGGUGUUGGGCGAGAGGCGUGUUGGGGAACGCUGCCAGGAGGGAGAGGUCGGGCAUGAGCACCCCAUCCCCAAGUUCCUGGUUUAAGCAACUUGGAAGAGGAACACGGAAGAAUGGGCAGAUUCGGGCUCAACCUGGCGGCUCCAGCAGUGUCCUACCGGCCCCCUGCCCCAACCUCACCCACCCUUCUCUCCAGCAGCCAGGUCCUACAGUCCGCAGUCAGCGCCGCCCCGCGUUUUCUGGGACACUGAGGCUUGUGGAUGAGAUCACUCUGAUGCAUUGAAUCAAAUAUCCACCAAAUCAGAAGGCUCGGGUGUAUGGCUUACCAUAAGGAAGAUAGGCCGGCUGUCUAACCGUUCAACCUGCAAUGCCCCUUUCUGCCUGAAGCGAAUGUGCACAAGCAGCUAGCACGUCCCACAGCCUCGGACACCAACUCGCCCGCCCAGCAGAAGCCACCGUCUGCUGCGAAUUCCCGUCGAGGUGCAGGAAGCCCUAUGAGCGCGGCAGGCGGCAAGGCGGGACCAGAGGCCAGCAGCAACGCCUACCUCGCACACGGUGCAGUGCCAGCGUGUCUCCACGUGGUGCUUGCACUCGUUGCAGGUGUAGACGAAGCGGUCCUGGCCCUGCGUGUGCAGCUCCACCAGCAUGCACAGCGUGGACCACUUGGAGCGGCGCAGGGAGGAGAACUCCCAGUGCUUGUCCCGGGCAAGCGUGAGGAAGGCAUCGCGCCCAUCCAUGAGGUCACAGCUGAGCAGGGGGUCAGGGUCCACGAUGGGGGGCAGGGUGUUGAUGACAGGCCCGGCGUGGAGGUGGAUCACGAAGAAGACCUACAGGGGGAGAGCGGCAGAGAGCAGCGUCGUCAGCCCAGCGGAGAGGCAGCUGCGUGACACUGCAGGCCCAGGACGCUCUGCGUGCCUCUGCAGCCGGGGCAGGACAGAGGGCUGCCGGGCGGGAUCGGCGCCUGCGCCCCAGGAGUGCUCCAGUGGUCAUGCUCCCUGCAGCAGAACUGCAGGUGCGAACCCGCCAGCCAGCUCUGCCCUCCAGGGGUGCCUGCUGCUCUGACACAGCCCAGUGAGGUUGCAGGAGGUCUGUCUGUCUGUCUGCAUGUUGAGCAGCGGGAGAGAUAGCCAAGAUGCUGUCUCCUUCCUCUUGGCCAGAGGUGGGGCACCAGCACUUGGCAGCCCCUCUUCCUCUACCCCCCCCAACCCCCCUGGCCAGCCCCACGCCACGCCACUACCUCCUUGUGCUUCUCCAUGGUAGCAUAGAGCUUCUGGGACAAGUCGUUGGACACGUUGGGCAUGCUGGGCUUCUUUUUGUUGGCUCGGCUGAUGCUGCUUUUAUUCUUGUUGGUUUUCUUGUUAUUCUUUUUCUUAGCAUUCUUGCUGUCACCCUGGCUGCCCUGUAACAAUAUGAAAAGUUGUCAGACCAGCCCGGCCUCCUGUUCCCACACCUGGGGGCUCCAGGAAGCCCGAGCUAAGGCAGGUCGCCCCUGGGUGACUCUGAUCUGCACUGUAAACACACAACUGCCCUCGAAGAAGCUGCUCAGGAAAGGGAUGAGGAGAGAAGCAGGGGCAGGACUGGGCCAGGAGCAAGUGGGUACUGUGGCAACACACAAACGUAAAGUAAGGACUGCUGGAACUUUCUCAGCUACCUGUGAAGGGAAAGAUAUAUGCAAAAUACUGAGUUCAGAAUCCACUGAUGCAAGGCAGAGGAAGCCACUUUCUAUGAUUCCCCUUCAUCGUACAGGGUAAGCACACACUUGCGAUUCUGACCACAUCACCUCUUGCCAUAGAAAGGCUCCCAACACCCCAGGUGUGCGGGUCUUCGGGGGAGACAAGUGAGGGUGCUAACAGGAGGUGGCCUGGUUCGAGCAGAGUCUCCCAAGCGGCCUCCUGCAGGUGCCACAGGGUGGGACAGCUCCCAGGCCCAGCUCCCCUCCUGCCAGGCCCGCUCAGGCCUGAAACCCACCGUUAGUGCCGCAAUAAUUUGGCUGAUGGUCAGAGGGUCUCAAUCCUCAGUUAAAAGCUCCUAUUGCCUGUUUUACACUUACACCUCAAGGUGAAAAAGGGAACCACAUCUGGUGCAGGGAAGGUCACGUUAACGGGAGAGACUGAGCACAUGAAGGGAAGUGUGAGUCUGGGGGAAGAUUCAGCUGCGUCUCACCCUGUCGUGCCUUCCCACACGAGGGCACCGGCUGGGGUGUUGUGGGAAGAGCCUCUCACCCAGCCCAGCAUCCCGGCACCUCAUGCUUUGGCUCCAACUAUACUGCCGACAAGAACGUUCUACAGAGAUCUUCCUGGGCAUCCCAAGAGCUAUGCUGCCCUGAGGCUCUCCACGGUCCUCACAGCACAGCAAAGGGACAGCUGUGUGCAGGAAGGGUGAUUUUCCAGGGUUAUUUUACUCAUGCAUUUCUGACCCUUUCAUUCUGGAGAACUUGUUUUGAAAAUAAAUAUUUUUAAAAAAUGAAAGACAAUGGUCCUAAGUCACGGUGAUAGCCCCUACCUCAGUGCAGUGAUGAAAGGGGCCCUCACAUCUGGGGUCCUCCCCCCAGCCCUGCACCCCAGUCCAGCUGUGAGCAAGUCACAGGUCCCAGUAGGGGGCACCCUGUAGAGCACCCAGCAUCCUCAAAACUGUCGCAGUCGUCAAAAACAAGGACAGCCUGAGAAAAAUCUACAGCCAAGGCCUAAGGAGACGGCGGGUGACUGUGACGUGGGAUCCUGGGGGGGCUGCUGGGACGGCAAGAGGCCGUCAGGUGGAAAGGAAGGCGGUGGGAGAAGGCACAGCCUUUAGUUAACGACAACGGAUCAAAGCGGUUCAUGGAAGGUAGUGGAUGGGUCGCACAAAAGAAAGAUGGGGACUACCAAGGAGCAGCCUGGGGGCAGCAUCUCGCCUACCCUGGCAAUUUUCCUGUAAACUUUCAACUGUUCUAAA